AGUCUUCUUCUACACUAAUGAUUUGUAAAAUGUAUGUACUAUGACUAUUAAAUGGCUUAAACUAACAAAACUGGCAUUAUUGAAAUUUAAUUUCAACAAUCUGGUUUUGAGGAGGAUCAGUUGGUGUAAAGUCUUCAUUACAUUGGCUAUUAGCCUGAGAAAAGUCUGUGGCACUCAAUAAGUACAUGGAUGAUUUGAAUGCUUAACACAACAUGUACAUGUGUAUAAGUUGAUAUCUCAUUAACUUGUAGAAUAUAGUUCUAAAUAAUAGGAAUUUUAAUUAAGUAUUCAAAGUAAAUCAAUUAAUUGUAAUUUAGUUUAAUUGUAAUGUGAUUAUUUUCAAAUUUAAUUAACCCAUUCUUGACUUAGACAUUGUGAUGUGAUUGAAUUUUUUUACCAGUUUUAUUGCACCAAGAAUAUAGAUUAGAAUGAAGACUGUAAAGGUUCCUGAGAUACAUGAAGAUAACAGAUACUUUUACCAAAGACUUUUAAAUCUUUUUUCAGGAAUGCAAGUGUUUCCUCUUGUUUACGAAGCAACUCAGUUGGUUAAGGGGCAGACAACUUGUGAGCAUGGUACAUCACUACCUGUAUUGGUAUUCCAUUUUGACAAUGUUGCUACCUAGAAUAGAAAUAACAUCUUGCUGUGGUACAGUCUGUGGAGACUUUUACUAGGAUAUCACAGAUCGAUUGAAUAUUCAACAAUGAUCACAGACCAUGCAAAGUUUGAAUCUGUCUGACUUGCACUUUUGAAUUUAGAAUAAUCUGUGGAGGAGAGUGAAUGCUGAGACCUUUAAUAAUACAUGAUAGUGCUGACACAGUGUGUCAGUCAUCAAAGAAAGGCCAUAACACCGCACAGUUGGUCAACAAUGAUUUAAAUCCUGUCACAUUCUACCAGUGGAGAAAUAUCUUAUCACAAUAUUUUAAACUUUUGAAGAAGAUAACCAAGUAUUACCACUUUAUCAUGUCUGCAGAAACACCUGGAUUGUUAGUGUUAAAAGUGACAGUCCAGUUAACUUACUAAAAUCUACUCCCCCUUGCCAAACGAAUAUUAUUGACAUGGAAUGACACAAGCCUGACAAUGGUACCUGUAUGAACUCAUAAGAGAAUAGUAUUUGUCUGAAAAGUCAAAGGAUUCUGUUUGUCCCAAACCACU